GGUGGAGGAGAAGUAACAAUCCAUUUUUUCCAAGGACUGGGAAAAAUGCCAGAUUGGAGGUGGCAAAAUUGCCUUGACUGAGUGAGUAGGAGGAUUGAGAGUGUGUGUUAGUGGCUAUGUCUUCACAAGCGUAAAUUCGGGAUUACUAUAUGUUCAGUAGUAGAAAGUGGGACAGACUCUGAAAUAGAAGCUCACUCACUUAAUUUAAGGCGUCUAGCAUCCCCUGCCCCAAAACUAACUUGGGCUUUUCCAGCACAGAAAGAAUUUUUUUAAAAUACAUUUUAUUGAUUUAAGAGAGAAUUUUUUAAUCACAUGAACCCUUUGACUCUGAAGCUGAUGACCAGAUCUUGAAUGAGAAAGUGGUCUCUGCAGAGUUUGGUCCUUAGAGAACAGAGAAGCUCAUCACAUUCUCCUCUCUGAGAAGUCUGAGCCAUUGCAUUUUAUCAUUCUUCACUACUCUAUCUUCUCCAUGGUCUUAUGCCUUAAGAACCAACUACUUGGGUCCAGUCAUAUAGCCACCCAAGUAGGCACUAAAUUAGAGAU